ACGGGAGGCAGCAGCAGGGAAUAUUGUGCAAUGAACGAAAGUUUGACACAGCGACACCGCGUGUGGGAUGACGGAUCUAGGUUUGUAAACCACUUUCAGGAGGGAAGAAAAUGACGGUACCUCCACAAGAAGCCCCGGCCAACUACGUGCCAGCAGCCGCGGUAAUACGUAGGGGGCGAGCGUUGUCCGGAUUUAUUGGGCGUAAAGAGCUCGUAGGCGGUUCAACAAGUCGGUCGUGAAAGUUCAGGGCUCAACCCUGAAAUGUCGAUCGAUACUGUUGUGACUAGGAUACGGUAGAGGUGAGUGGAAUUCCGAGUGUAGCGGUGAAAUGCGUAGAUAUUCGGAGGAACACCAAUUACGAAGGCAGCUCACUGGACCGCUAUCGACGCUGAGGAGCGAAAGCUAGGGGAGCAAACAGGAUUAGAUACCCUGGUAGUCCUAGCUGUAAACGAUGGAUACUAGACGUAGGAACUGGAUUGACGGUUUCUGUGUCGUAGCUAACGCGUUAAGUAUCCCGCCUGGGGAGUACGGUCGCAAGACUAAAACUCAAAUGAAUUGACGG
rnacentral:rRNA from 1 species